GAUAAUAUAAAAGAAAAAUUAUAUAUAUUUUUAUUACUAAUCUAUAUUUUUUAUUUUUAUAGAUAUAUAAAAUAGAAACUAAGUAUUGUAACAAAAAAAAAAAAACUAAGUAAUCAGAUUGAAAUAUAAAAAGGGUAGACUGAGAUAAAUAUAAAAAAAAAACCCUUUAUCGUCAAAAAUUAAAGUAGAAAACCCUUUUGUAUUCCAAUUCCAAUUUUUUCACAAGGUCUUCUUCUGCAUUUUCUCCCGCAACUACGACAACAGCGAGAGAUAACGAAAUGGGGUUCUUCUCCUUUCUGCUGGCCCGUUUACUCUUUGAUUCAUUCUUCGUCCUCCCCGCACGGCAGAUUUCAGAUCUCUCUAUCUCUUCGUUCUCCACAUGUCGUAGCGUUGUUCCCUGUUCAAGUUCUCUUUGCUAACCAUCGGCGCCAUGUUUCUCCUAUUUUUC
rnacentral:lncRNA from 1 species